UGAGGCAGGAGAAUUGCUUGAACCCAGGAGGCGGAGGUUGCAGUGAGCCGAGAUCGUGCCACUGUACUCCAGCCUGGAUGACAGAGCAAGACUCCA
rnacentral:miRNA from 1 species